rnacentral:tRNA from 1 species
GGGAAGGGAGUCUGUGCCGGUGUGCUGGCUGGUCUUCAAAACCAGUGAAGGCCGUAAGACGGUCUUAGUGGGUUCGACUCCCACUCUCUUCC